rnacentral:rRNA from 1 species
UAUCAGGUAGUAGUGGGUGUAGCGUACCUACUAGCCUACGACGGGUACGGGUUGUGAGAGCAAGAGCCCGGGGAUGGAUUCUGAGACACGAAUCCAGGCCCUACGGGGUGCAGCAGGCGCGAAAACUUUACAAUGCUGGAAACAGCGAUAAGGGGACCUCGAGUGCCAGGUUACAAAUCUGGCUGUCGUGAUGCCUAAAAAGCAUUGCAUAGCAAGGGCCGGGCAAGACCGGUGCCAGCCGCCGCGGUAACACCGGCGGCUCGAGUGGUAACCGUUAUUAUUGGGUCUAAAGGGUCUGUAGCCGGCCGGAUAAGUCUCUUGGGAAAUCCAGCAGCUCAACUGUUGGGCUUUCAGGAGAUACUGUCUGGCUCGAGGCCGGGAGAGGUGAGAGGUACUUCAGGGGUAGGGGUGAAAUCUUGUAAUCCUUGAAGGACCACCAGUGGCGAAGGCGUCUCACCAGAACGGACCUGACGGCAAGGGACGAAAGCUAGGGGCACGAACCGGAUUAGAUACCCGGGUAGUCCUAGCCGUAAACGAUACUCGCUAGGUGUCGGCCACGGUGCGACCGUUGUCGGUGCCGUAGGGAAGCCGUGAAGCGAGCCACCUGGGAAGUACGGCCGCAAGGCUGAAACUUAAAGGAAUUGGCGGGGGAGCAC